rnacentral:rRNA from 1 species
UACGGAGGGUGCAAGCGUUGCUCGGAAUUAUUGGGCGUAAAGGGUGCGUAGGCGGUUUGGUAAGUCUGAUGUGAAAUCUAUGGGCUCAACUCAUAGUCUGCAUCGGAAACUGCCGGGCUUGAGUGUGGGAGAGGUGAGUGGAAUUCCUGGUGUAGCGGUGAAAUGCGCAGAUAUCAGGAGGAACACCAAUUGCGAAGGCAGCUCGCUGGGACGUUACUGACGCUGAGACGCGAAAGCGUGGGGAGCAAACAGG